rnacentral:rRNA from 1 species
UACGGAGGGUGCGAGCGUUAAUCGGAAUUACUGGGCGUAAAGGGUGCGUAGGUGGUAUGUUAAGUUAGUUUUGAAAUACCUGGGCUUAACCUGGGUUGGUGGACUAAUACUGAUGUACUUGAGUAUAGGAGAGGGUAGUGGAAUUUCCGGUGUAGCGGUGAAAUGCGUAGAGAUCGGAAGGAACACCAGUGGCGAAGGCGGCUACCUGGCCAGAUACUGACACUGAGGCACGAAAGCGUGGGGAGCAAACAGG